GACGAACGCUGGCGGCGUGCUUAACACAUGCAAGUCGAACGGAAAGGCCCUGCUCUUGUGGGGUGCUCGAGUGGCGAACGGGUGAGUAACACGUGAGUAACCUGCCCUUGACUUUGGGAUAACUUCAGGAAACUGGGGCUAAUACCGGAUAGGAGCUCCUGCUGCAUGGUGGGGGUUGGAAAGUGUCGGUGGUUGGGGAUGGACUCGCGGCUUAUCAGCUUGUUGGUGGGGUAGUGGCUUACCAAGGCUUUGACGGGUAGCCGGCCUGAGAGGGUGACCGGCCACAUUGGGACUGAGAUACGGCCCAGACUCCUACGGGAGGCAGCAGUGGGGAAUAUUGCACAAUGGGCGGAAGCCUGAUGCAGCAACGCCGCGUGCGGGAUGACGGCCUUCGGGUUGUAAACCGCUUUCGCCUGUGACGAAGCGUGAGUGACGGUAAUGGGUAAAGAAGCACCGGCUAACUACGUG
rnacentral:rRNA from 1 species